rnacentral:ncRNA from 2 species
AAUUGUCGCUAGGGGUGGUUCCACUGAGAGCUGGAUCAAAGUCCUGCAACCCUUAGAACCUGAACUGGCUAAUACCAGCGGAGGAAAGCGGCGCGAUUGUGUA